GACGAACGCUGGCGGCAGGCUUAACACAUGCAAGUCGAGCGCCCCGCAAGGGGAGCGGCGGACGGGUGAGUAACGCGUGGGAAUCUGCCCUUUGGUGUGGGACAACCACGGGAAACUGUGGCUAAUACCGCAUGAGCCCGAGAGGGGAAAGCCGCAAGGCGCCGAGGGAUGAGCCCGCGUCGGAUUAGCUAGUUGGUAGGGUAACGGCCUACCAAGGCGAUGAUCCGUAGCUGGUCUGAGAGGAUGAUCAGCCACACUGGGACUGAGACACGGCCCAGACUCCUACGGGAGGCAGCAGUGGGGAAUAUUGGACAAUGGGGGAAACCCUGAUCCAGCCAUGCCGCGUGAGUGAUGAAGGCC
rnacentral:rRNA from 1 species